ACAAUGGCUGGUUUUCUAGUUUUUCUUUAUUCGCUCCUUUUAUUAUCAAUAAUGUUCAUAUCAUCAAAUUCAGGUCAGCUGAAUGAUGAAGGCAAUGAGUUCAUUAGCAUUAUUGGUAGGGUAGAGAAAAUAGCCAUGGAUAUUGCUGUACAAGACAUUUAUAGAUUUGACUGGCAAUAAUUUGGCUCUACAUGUUCUGGAUUUGCCUGAGAACUCCGCCCGAGCUGCUUUUGCAGCAAUUGAUCUCAUCCAAAACCAAAAAUUGGUAGCGAUUGUUGGUUCCAUAGCAUGGCAUCAGGCUGCAUUAGUUGCUGAAAUGGUUAACAUUACCAUUGAACGACCUAUCAUUUCCUGAACCACAGGAUUAUCUCUGAUAGUUCCAGAUAAAGAACUUCCAGUAAUUAGCAUGUACCAAGAUAUAUCUGUGCAGAUCGAAUGCAUUGCUUCUAUCAUUGCAUCCUUCAAGUGGCCAAUGGUGAUUGCUAUAUAUGAAGAUAGAUAUUCCUACAAUAGUGAUUUAGGCAUUAUCACUCUUCUGUCAGCUUCACUACAAGAUAGCGGUGUUCAACUGGAACACUACUCCGCCUUCCCGACACUGUCUUCUCUUUUAGACCAGAACACUACGAUUCAGAACGAGUUAAAUAAACUGAAGGGUAAACAAAGCAGGGUCUUUAUACUACUUCAAUCUUCAUUAACUUUAGCAAGUUUACUGUUUGAAAAUGCUAAGAAAAUGGGAAUAAUGAGGAGAGGGUAUGUGUGGAUUGCUGCUACUAGCAUCACUGGUCUUCUCGAUUCUGUUAACUCAUCCAUGAUGACCUCCAUGCAAAGCGUGCUUGGUUGCAAGGCCUGCUAUUUAGAUACCACCGCAUCAUUCAAAGAUUUUGAAGUCAAGUUCGAGAGGAAGUUUAGAGGUGAAUAUCCGGAAGAUAGGGACUCUCAACCAAGUACAUUCGCUCUUCGAGGUUAUGAUGCAAUUUGGACCGUUGCAAAGUCUUCUAAAAUGUUACAUGAGAAAAAUUAUUCAAAAACCUUAAACAUAUCUUAUCAAGUGAUUUUGAAGGCGUAAGCAGUAGGAUACACUUUACAAGCUAUAGGCUAACAUACGUACCUAACUUUCAGAUUGUUAAUAUAGUUGGUAAAAGCUACAGAGAGCUUGGAUUUUGGUCACCGGAGUUUGGCUUCACCACAAUCUUGUCAAGAAUUAUAGUGGAAAGGAUGAAAGUCAGUCUGGUGAAGAAGUUCUAAAUCCAGUAUACUGGCCAGAAGGCAAAACUUCUGUCCCAACUGGAUUAUCAGAAUCCAAUCUUCUUGAGGAUAGAGGAAGCAGCUGAGGAUUGCGGUACCAGCUAAAUCAAUAUCCAAGCAUUUUGUAAGAGUAAGCCAUGAUGAGAUCCCAAACAUAACAUAUAUAACAGGAUUUCAGUUGGCGUAUUUGAAGCUGCUGUGAAGUGUCUACGCUACGCUUUGAUGUAUGAAAUUGUUCCUUUUCAUGGUUCUUACGAUGACAUGGUAAUGAAGGUUUCUCAAAAGGCUUUUGAUGCAGCCGUUGGAGAUAUUGUAAUAACAGCAAGCAGAGACCAGCCUAUAGAGUUCUCACAGCCACAUGUCGAAUCAGGUCUCGUGAUGCUCGUGGCGAUGAAGUCUGACAUGUCACGCCAUCAUUGGUGGUUCUUGAAGGUCUAUGCUAAAGAGCUGUGGUUUUUAAUGGCAGCCAUUACAGUCUUCACUGGUUUUGCUAUUUGGGUUGUUCAGCAUGAAACUGAGCGUGGGUUUAAUGGUUCAUCCAUUACGCAGAUUGGAUCAAUACGCUGGUAUUCCUUUUCAAUACUCACUUCUGCACAAGGUAAAUAGAGGAACUGUAAAUUUAAUAUACGAAAUUC